GAUGAACGCUGGCGGCGUGCCUAAUACAUGCAAGUCGAGCGAACAGAUGAGGAGCUUGCUCCUCUGACGUUAGCGGCGGACGGGUGAGUAACACGUGGAUAACCUAUCUAUCAGACUGGGAUAACUUCGGGAAACCGGAGCUAAUACCGGAUAAUAUAUUCAACCGCAUGGUUCUAUAGUGAAAGACGGUUUUGCUGUCACUUAUAGAUGGAUCCGCGCCGCAUUAGCUAGUUGGUAAGGUAACGGCUUACCAAGGCACCGAUGCGUAGCCGACGUGAGAGGGGGAUAGGCCACACUGGAACUUGGACACGGACCAGACUCCUACGGGAGGCAGCAGUAGGGAAUCGUCCGCAAUGGGCGAAAGCCUGACGGAGCAACGCCGCGUGAGUGAUGAAGGUCUUCGGAGCGUAAAACUCUGUUAUGAGGGAAGAACAAAUGUGUAAGUAACUAUGCACGUCUUGACGGUACCUAAACAGAAAGCCACGGCUAACUACGUG
rnacentral:rRNA from 1 species